CAAACUUGAAGUGUUUACGGUCUAGGGUAGAUGUCCAACAGGGAGCAGGGACUAUCAAUCUGGAACUCAGAGACGAAACCAUGGAGUGACAGGUGCAGGUUAAGAGCCUGUUAGGUCCAAAAUGGUGCCCCAGAAAUUCAAGUUAAGUCAAGCCCAUGUUGGAAGACCACCAGAUGUUCUUCUCUAAUGACGAGCUCUGAGGAAUCCCCAAAUGAUGUCCUCCUUGUUCUCCCCUGGUACACUGAGUCUGCAGACCAUCCAGAAGGAUCCUGCUGC
rnacentral:lncRNA from 1 species